rnacentral:lncRNA from 1 species
CCUUARAUCCAGCUGUGAGGAGUUCUGAGCCUGCAGAUCCCUGUCUGUAAAUGUGAAGAGUGGGUUUCGUGAACUAUGUGAUCUCCRUGGAGCGUCAGCAUUUGUGCGUGCAACCUAGAAGCCUGCCUGCGCUAAUAGACGUGACCGGCACUUGCACAUCCUGCGGAGCAGAGGAAAAGCAUUUUGAUUUUUGUGCUCAACUGGGAAACCACUUGGGCGCUUAGGAGUGGCGGUCCCAACCCGCUGCGGCCUCGGGAUGCAGCACCAAGCGGAUGGAUGGAUGGAUGGAUGGAUGGAGAAGACCUGGAGAGGCAACACCCAUGGGGGCAGGAGCACUGCUCCCAACCCCAUGGCUGCUUAGUGUUGUCCGCGUGGGCCUGUG